CUGGAGCAUCACCUGUAAAACAGAGAGGGAGAUCUGUAAGUCACAAUGGGAGCUAUUGUAGCAUUAGCUGUGUUGCUGGGAGCUUUAUCAUACGUUCGCUGUGUUGAACUCACACAGCCAGGCUCUAUGGUUGUAAAACCAGGACAGUCUCUGACCAUCUCCUGUAAACUCUCUGGGUAUUCUCUGACCGAUGGCAGCUAUGGUACAGCCUGGAUCCGACAGCCUGCAGGGAAAGCUCUGGAGUGGAUCGGGCGAUAUUGGGUGGGUGGGGGAACCAACCAAUAUCUUUAUAAAGAUUCCCUGAAAAGCAAGUUCACCAUCUCUAUAGACACUUCCAGUAACACAAUAUCUUUACAAGGGAGCAGCCUGCAGACUGGAGACUCAGCUGUGUAUUACUGUGCCCGAGACCCACAGUGCAGCAAAACAACGCUAGAGCUGUACAAAAACACAUCACACUGAGUGUCACCACUGAACGCACACACUCCACCUGCAUGUAGCACUCACUGUCCAUUCACCAUUAUCUGAAAAUAGCAAGAAAAAUAAU